GGGCCUGUAGCUUAGUAAGGAUAAAGCAUCGGCUUCCGAAGCCGAGGAUCGCGGGUUCAAGUCCCGCCAGGCCCU
rnacentral:tRNA from 1 species